rnacentral:rRNA from 1 species
GGAACCACCUGAACCCAUGCCGAACUCAGAAGUGAAACGCGGUAGCGCCGAUGGUAGUGUGGCAUUCGCCAUGCGAGAGUAGGACACUGCCAGGC